rnacentral:rRNA from 1 species
GACGAACGCUAGCGGCGUGCUUAACACAUGCAAGUCGAACGGAAAGGCCCUGCUUGCAGGGUACUCUAGUGGCGAACGGGUGAGUAACACGUGGGUGAUCUGCCCUGCACUUCGGGAUAAGCCUGGGAAACUGGGUCUAAUACCGGAUAGGAGCCAUUUUUAUUGUUAUGGUUGGAAAGUUUUUUCGGUGUAGGAUGAGCUCGCGGCCUAUCAGCUUGUUGGUGGGGUAAUGGCCUACCAAGGCGGCGACGGGUAGCCGGCCUGAGAGGGUGGACGGCCACAAUGGGACUGAGAUAAGGCCCAGACUCCUACGGGAGGCAGCAGUGGGGAAUAUUGCAAAAUGGGCGCAAGCCUGAUGCAGCGAAGCCGCGUGGGGGAUGACGGCCUUCGGGUUGUAAACUCCUUUCGCUAGGGACGAAGCUUUUUGUGACGGUACCUAGAUAAGAAGCACCGGCUAACUACGUG